rnacentral:rRNA from 1 species
GAUGAACGCUGGCGGCGGGCCUAACACAUGCAAGUCGAGCGAACAGACGAGGAGCUCGCUCCUCUGACGGUAGCGGCGGACGGGUGAGUAACACGUGGAUAACCUACCUAUAAGACUGGGAUAACUACGGGAAACCGGAUACAAUACCGGAUAAUAUAUUGAACCGGAGGGAUCAAUAGAGAAAGAGGGCUUUGCUGACACUAAGAGAUGGUGUCGGGUCGCAUUAGCUAGUUGGUAAGGUAACGGCCUACCAAGGCGACGAUGCGUAGCCGACCUGAGAGGAUGAUCAGCCACACUGGAACUGAGACACGGUCCAGACUCCUACGGGAGGCAGCAGUAGGGAAUAUUGCACAAUGGGCGAAAGCCUGACGGAGCAACGCCGCGUGAGUGAAGAAGGUCUUCGGAUCGUAAAGCUCUGUUAUUAGGGAAGAACAAAAGUGUGAGUAACUAUGCACGUCUUGACGGUACCUAAAGAGAAAGCACCGGCUAACUACGUG